rnacentral:rRNA from 1 species
GGGUGAGUAAUGCCUAGGAAUCUGCCUGGUAGUGGGGGAUAACGUUCGGAAACGGACGCUAAUACCGCAUACGUCCUACGGGAGAAAGCAGGGGACCUUCGGGCCUUGCGCUAUCAGAUGAGCCUAGGUCGGAUUAGCUAGUUGGUGAGGUAAUGGCUCACCAAGGCGACGAUCCGUAACUGGUCUGAGAGGAUGAUCAGUCACACUGGAACUGAGACACGGUCCAGACUCCUACGGGAGGCAGCAGUGGGGAAUAUUGGACAAUGGGCGAAAGCCUGAUCCAGCCAUGCCGCGUGUGUGAAGAAGGUCUUCGGAUUGUAAAGCACUUUAAGUUGGGAGGAAGGGCAGUUACCUAAUACGUGAUUGUUUUGACGUUACCGACAGAAUAAGCACCGGCUAACUCUGUGCCAGCAGCCGCGGUAAUACAGAGGGUGCAAGCGUUAAUCGGAAUUACUGGGCGUAAAGCGCGCGUAGGUGGUUAGUUAAGUUGGAUGUGAAAUCCCCGGGCUCAACCUGGGAACUGCAUUCAAAACUGACUGACUAGAGUAUGGUAGAGGGUGGUGGAAUUUCCUGUGUAGCGGUGAAAUGCGUAGAUAUAGGAAGGAACACCAGUGGCGAAGGCGACCACCUGGACUGAUACUGACACUGAGGUGCGAAAGCGUGGGGAGCAA